UACGUAGGGUGCGAGCGUUGUCCGGAAUUAUUGGGCGUAAAGAGCUUGUAGGCGGUUUGUCGCGUCUGCUGUGAAAAUCCGGGGCUCAACCCCGGACUUGCAGUGGGUACGGGCAGACUAGAGUGUGGUAGGGGAGAUCGGAAUUCCUGGUGUAGCGGUGAAAUGCGCAGAAUAUCAGGAGGAACACCGGUGGCGAAGGCGGGACUCUGGGCCGAUGACUGACGCUGAGGAGCGAAAGCGUGGGGAGCAAACAGG
rnacentral:rRNA from 1 species